GACCUAAUAGCACAAGUGGUAGUGCACCUGCUGUGCAUAAAAUGGAAGAACAGAGUAUUUGCAGGAGGUUCGAUUCGGGGUUAGGUCG